CACGUAGGUGGCAAGCGUUAUCCGGAAUCACUGGGCGUAAAGGGUCCGCAGGUGGGCUGGUACGUCUGAUGUGACAGCGCCUGGCUCAACUGGGCGUGGGCAUUGGAAACGGCCGUUCUUGAGUCACAGAGAGGGGUGCGGAAUUCCGGGUGUAGUGGUGGAAUGCGCAGAUAUCAGGAGGAACACCAGUAGCGAAGGCGGCUCGCUGGGCCACACCUGACGCUGAGACGCGAAAGCUAGGGGAGCGAACAGG
rnacentral:rRNA from 1 species